UACGUAGGUGGCAAGCGUUGUCCGGAUUUACUGGGCGUAAAGAGCGCGCAGGCGGUCGAUCAAGUCGCGUGUGAAAGCCCCCGGCUCAACUGGGGAGGGUCACGCGAUACUGAUCGACUCGAAGGCAGGAGAGGGUAGUGGAAUUCCCGGUGUAGUGGUGAAAUGCGUAGAUAUCAAGUGGAACACCAGUGGCGAAGGCGAGUCUCUGGACAUUUCCUGACGCUGAGGCACGAAAGCCAGGGGAGCAAACGAG
rnacentral:rRNA from 1 species